rnacentral:rRNA from 1 species
GAUGAACGCUGGCGGCGUGCCUAACACAUGCAAGUCGAGCGAACAGAUGAGGAGCUUGCUCCUCUGACGUUAGCGGCGGACGGGUGAGUAACACGUGGAUAACCUACCUAUAAGACUGGGAUAACUUCGGGAAACCGGAGCUAAUACCGGAUAAUAUAUUGAACCGCAUGGUUCAAUAGUGAAAGACGGUUUUGCUGUCACUUAUAGAUGGAUCCGCGCCGCAUUAGCUAGUUGGUAAGGUAACGGCUUACCAAGGCAACGAUGCGUAGCCGACCUGAGAGGGUGAUCGGCCACACUGGAACUGAGACACGGUCCAGACUCCUACGGGAGGCAGCAGUAGGGAAUCUUCCGCAAUGGGCGAAAGCCUGACGGAGCAACGCCGCGUGAGUGAUGAAGGUCUUCGGAUCGUAAAACUCUGUUAUUAGGGAAGAACAAAUGUGUAAGUAACUAUGCACGUCUUGACGGUACCUAAUCAGAAAGCCACGGCUAACUAUGUG